UGGGGAAUAUUGCACAAUGGGCGCAAGCCUGAUGCAGCCAUGCCGCGUGUAUGAAGAAGGCCUUCGGGUUGUAAAGUACUUUCAGCGGGGAGGAAGGGAGUAAAGUUAAUACCUUUGCUCAUUGACGUUACCCGCAGAAGAAGCACCGGCUAACUCCGUGCCAGCAGCCGCGGUAAUACGGAGGGUGCAAGCGUUAAUCGGAAUUACUGGGCGUAAAGCGCACGCAGGCGGUUUGUUAAGUCAGAUGUGAAAUCCCCGGGCUCAACCUGGGAACUGCAUCUGAUACUGGCAAGCUUGAGUCUCGUAGAGGGGGGUAGAAUACCAGGUGUAGCGGUGAAAUGCGUAGAGAUCUGGAGGAAUACCGGUGGCGAAGGCGGCCCCCUGGACGAAGACUGACGCUCAGGUGCGAAAGCGUGGGGAGCAAACAGG
rnacentral:rRNA from 1 species